AACGGGGGAUGCAAGCGUUAUCCGGAAUCACUGGGCGUAAAGCGUCUGUAGGUGGUGAUGCAAGUCACUGGUGCAAAACUCUGGCUCAACCGGAGGAAAGCCAGUGAAACUGCAUGACUAGAGUGUGGGAGAGGUAGAAGGAAUUCCCUGAGUAGCGGUGAAAUGCGUAGAUACAGGGAAGCACACCGGAGGCGAAGGCGUUCUACUGGAACACAACUGACACUGAGAGACGAAAGCUAGGGGAGCGAAUGGG
rnacentral:rRNA from 1 species